GAUGAACGCUGGCGGCGUGCCUAAUACAUGCAAGUCGAGCGAACAGAUGCUGUUCUUUCUCCUCUGACGUUAGCGGCGGACGGGUGAGUAACACGUGGUUACCCUACCUAUAAUACUGGGAUAACUUCGGGAAACCGGAGCUAAUACCGGAUAAUAUAUUGAACCGCAUGGUUCAAUAGUGAAAGACGUUUUUUCUGUCUCUUUUAGAUGGAUCCGCGCCGCAUUAGCUAGUUGGUAAGGUAACGGCUUACCAAGGCAACGAUGCGUAGCCGACCUGAGAGGGUGAUCGGCCACACUGGAACUGAGACACGGUCCAGACUCCUACGGGAGGCAGCAGUAGGGAAUGUUCCGCAAUGGGCGAAAGCCUGACGGAGCAACGCCGCGUGAGUGAUGAAGGUCUUCGGAUCGUAAAACUCUGUUAUUAGGGAAGAAAAAAUGUGAAAGUAACUAUGCAGGUCUUGACGGUACCUAAACAGAAAGCCACGGCUAACUACGUG
rnacentral:rRNA from 1 species